rnacentral:misc_RNA from 1 species
GAGACAUUAAAGUUGAAAUUUGUAUUACUUUCACCCGUAUUUACAUGAUGAGUGGAAAACAGGUUAUAUAAUUUUAUGGAGAGACUGUCAAAUUAAGAAAACCGACACUUAAAGACAACGUGAUCAUAUGGUGGAUCAAGUUUUAAGAUUUCGAAACCAAGAAACAGACAACUACCCUUUUCUUUUUUUUAAGCCUUAUUUUCUUCAUCACUUCACGCGCCUAGGCCUCACUUUAACGGUCAAAGGGUUAGCCAUCUCGCAAGACAGCCCCAGAACCUCAGAUAGGUCAACAGCAGUAUCACCGGACGGUAGCCAUUCAAACUCAUGCAACAGUGACGCAACCCAAAAGGUCGCCGUCAUUAACCCCAAGUUCUUUCCCGGGCAGCUCCGCCUGCCCGAUCCAAACGGUGCAAGCCUAAGAUCCGACCCUAGGACAGAAAACUCUACCUCCCCGUCUUUUGCCAUAAACCUCUCGGGAAUAAAUUCAAGUGGGUCAGCCCACAACUCUGGGUCUCUUGCUAUGGCCCACAUGUUAAUCAUUGCAGUGGUCCCCGCAGGCACGUGGUACCCAUCAAUGGUUGUAUCAGUUAUGGCUAACCUGGCCCAGGAGAGAAGUGGGCCUGGAGGGUGCAGCCUCAAUACUUCCUUCACUGCUGCGUUAAGAUACCUCAAAGCCGUGAUGUCAGACUCGGCAACGGCCCUUGAUCUGCCCACUACCUUGUCCAACUCAUCCUGUACCUUUGAUUGAACAUCACGAUGAAGCACCAUCCUUGCUAGUAUCCACUCGAUCAGAACCGCCACGGUGUCAGUUCCUCUAAAGAUCAUCUCCCAAAGAACGGCGAUCAUAUCGUCAUCUAAUAGUUUUUCGGGUCCUUGAAGCGACAACAAAACAUCAACGAAAUCUCCGGUUUCGCCACCUCUUGAAACUCGGUGUUCGCCGAUGAUUCGGCUAACGAAGAGGUUCACUUUUGGCACCAGGCUUGAGCAUCUGAACCCGAUUUUUUGAGGGUCAAAAUCUGCUAGCCAAGGAAGGUGGUCAGUCCAAUUAAGGGUACCCAAUAGAUCGUACCCUUCAUCCACUAGUCCUCGAAGCUCUUCAACUUCGUUAUUUGGCGAAUCUAGUCUAUAUUCGCGUCCAAAAACUGAACACAUCAUGUUGUUCAAGGAAGCAAGUUUAAGUAAUCCACGGACAGUAAAACUUCGAUCAUAGUCCUUGAACAUGUUCACCAUCUCAUAAGCGAUUAUGCGUCUCUGAGCCUCAGUGUCUUUGAUUUGCUUAGGACAGAAAAGGUGUGUAGCUGCCAUUCUUCUGAGGGUUCGCCAGUAAACUCCGUAAGGAGCGAAUCCUAUUGCUCUGUUGAACAUAAGUCUGUAAGCAGAUUCCUUCACUGGACGAUCCGCGAACACAGUACUGUUAAGUAUUUCUUUGGCUACGUCGGGGUUGCAUGUCACGAUAACACGAGUAUCACCGAGACUAAACGCCAUAAGCCUCUUGGCUUUGCAUGUCUCGGCGGCGGCAGCAAUCCGGUGGUGAGCAAGGGAAGCCAUGAGGUUCAUGCUGCCAAUAAGAGGUAAACCCCUCGGACCAGGAAUUGGCCUAGCACCAGUGGGACAUCCUUUUUUGAGCUUGUGUUUUCCCCAAGCUGGACCACCUGGGUGAGCCCAGUGGAGAAGGGCAAUGGCUAGCGAAGCGAGAGCCAUGAUCAAAAGUGACCAUGCAAUAUUUUCUUGUGUGAAGGCUCUACAUUUAGAGGCCAAAGCAAAGACCCAGAGGGUAUCUAUGUCGGUUCUCAUGGUAGGCUUGGGAGGAGAGAAUAUCUAAGGGUAGUAGCACAGAGAGUGAGAGUGAGGAAGAGGGAUUUUAUUUGGGGCGUAAGGGAGAGAGGAUGGCUGGAAUAUAUACACGCAGAGAGACUGAAGGGGGGAUGAAAUUAAAUUAAAUAAAUUAAAUAACCGUUAUACUGGGAAGUAGGACCGUAUAACUGAUUAUAUAAUUAUUAUAUGAAAUUGGUUUUGGAAUUUUGAGCAGCGCCGCCACGAGUGCAUGACGAUUUGUAGAAACGUAACCUUCCACGUUCGGACGCGUGAGGAGGACGCCCCUGAGACUCCUUUGUGCUUAGUGCAAGCGUUGCGAAAUUACCAGGUCCAUCUCUCUUAUUUUGGAUCACUUGUGGGAGAUUGUAAGUCUUUGUUACAGUUUUCUAUUGUGUUUGUUGCUCACAUGCUGGCGGCGUCAGUUCAUUCUCAAUUUGAUCUUUGGAGAGUCAGGUCCCUUCUAAUUUCAUUGCUAAUGCUUUUAUCCUCUGAUUUGUUUGCUUUGAAUUAAU